rnacentral:rRNA from 1 species
AGGACGAACGCUGGCGGCGUGCUUAACACAUGCAAGUCGAGCGGAAAGGCCCUUCGGGGUACUCGAGCGGCGAACGGGUGAGUAACACGUGAGUAAUCUGCCCCUAGCUCUGGGAUAGCUCCGGGAAACCGGGAUUAAUACCAGAUACGACCACUUUAGACAUCUGUUGUGGUGGAAAGAAUUUUGGCUAGGGAUGAGCUCGCGGCCUAUCAGCUUGUUGGUGAGGUAACGGCUCACCAAGGCGACGACGGGUAGCCGGCCUGAGAGGGCGACCGGCCACACUGGGACUGAGACACGGCCCAGACUCCUACGGGAGGCAGCAGUGGGGAAUAUUGCGCAAUGGGCGAAAGCCUGACGCAGCGACGCCGCGUGGGGAUGAAGGCCUUCGGGUUGUAAACCCCUUUCAGCAGGACGAAGCGAAAGUGACGGUACCUGCAGAAGAAGCGCCGGCUAACUACGUGCCAGCAGCCGC